rnacentral:lncRNA from 1 species
AUGAGAUCGAAGUCAAUCGCUCGCCGUCUAACUCCAGGUAGCAUUGACGAGAAUGGCGUAGACAAAAGUGGUGGUGAAGAAGAUGACUCGAUGGAGGAAGAAGCAGAGGUGUCCAGUGAAACCUCAUUCAAAGAUAAGUUCAACUAUUUCGACUCGCAAAUUCCCGCGGAGCUAGAACUGAGGAACGGCGGCGCGGGCGGCAUUUGGACCAAAGAGAGGCUCCACAGAGGCAUCCGCUACGGACCGUACCCGGGAAUUUUGAGAGAAAGACCCCUGGAACCAAAGUAUGCGUGGGAGGUGCGAGCAGCCGGCAGGAAAGGAUUCUUGGAUGCUACCAUAGGCUCACUCACCUGGAUGAAGUACGUCAGAAGCUCAGAUGACGAGAAAGAGCAGAAUGUCCGGGUGCACUUUUUUCAGGGCAAGAUAUACUUCAAGAUAGAGCAAGAUUUAGAUAGAGGACACGAAUUGGUGAUGGGCCCAAGGCAUCCUUUACAUUUUGACCUUUGUGGCAAUUUGACCGAAAAUCGUUACGAUCGGGAAUCAACGUCGCAGCUGUCAAGUGGAACUCUAGAUGAUAGUCGGGAUGAGCAAUUAGAUGACGAGGAAAGCAAUGUUUGCCCUCGCUGUGAAACAACUUUUCCUUCUCUAGAACAGUAAGUAUCAGAGCUCUUGUAACAAUACCGCUACAAAGUUGUUAUAAUUACUAUGAUUAGGUCUCUUGAGGCUCUCUUUUUCUUUUUCUAUCUUCAUUCUCUCCUCAUCGAGUCUUGUGUUCAAGCAUGUCAUUUGGAAUUAUUUUUAAGACAAUCCAAGAAAAUCCACUAAACCCUGAAACCACGGAAGUAGAUCUGAAGCUUCUUUGGCGAUUUUCUCCUGUCCUCUUUUUUUAAUAAGCUUUUCCAUUUGUCAUUUCUCAAUAAAUGACACGCCAUUUACUGAGGAUUUCCUCUCAUGGAAGAAUUUCCCUUUCGCGUGGUAGAGGUGCCAAGUUGAAUGUUUCAAAUUGGCUCUAUGGCUUGGUUUUCAAAAGGAUCGUCAGCAAAUUCUACAAUCUGCGC